rnacentral:rRNA from 1 species
AUGCACGCUGGCGGCGUGCCUAAUCCAUGCAAGUCGAGCGAACAGAUGAGGAGCUUGCUCCUCUGACGUUAGCGGCGGACGGGUGAGUAACACGUGGAUAACCUACCUAUAAUCCUGGGUUAACUUCGGGAAACCGGAGCUAAUACCGGAUAAUAUAUUUAACCGCAUGGUUCAAUAGUGAAAGACGGUUUUGCUGUCACUUAUAGAUGGAUCCGCGCCGCAUUAGCUAGUUGGUAAGGUAACGGCUUACCAAGGCAACGAUGCGUAGCCGACCUGAGAGGGUGAUCGGCCACACUGGAACUGAGACACGGUACAGACUCCUACGGGAGGCAGCAGUAGGGAAUCUUCCGCAAGGGGCGAAAGCAUGACGGAGCAACGCCGCGUGAGUGAUGAAGGGCUUCGGAUCGUAAAACGCUGUUAUUAGGGAAGAACAAAUGUGUAAGUAACGAUGCACGUCUUGACGGUACCUAAUCAGAAAGCCACGGCUAACUACGU